CUUUUUCAUUGUGAACUGCCAUUCUCGUCAUUUUUUGUUUGAUUGUUCUCUCGAGAAAAUAAUUAAACUCUUUCACCGAAUAUCUAAACUUUUAAUCCAGUCUCUAGCCUGUCUUUAUUUUUGUUUCAACAAGGUCUCUUCUUCACAACAAAUUCCUCCCUCGCUGAACAGAAACUUCCAUAACAAACUUGGCGUUGUCGGCAGGAUUUCAAGGAGGGAUCAGAACGGGACUCCGCUGGUGACUGAUGACAGCUAGCACCCAGGGAUCUGAGGAUCACCUGCCUCUAAACCUCGCCAAAACAUCUUUGAGAGACAGAGGGUCAGAACCGCGGAGGGCUCGCUGAUUCCACUCUGAAAUCCAAACGAAAAGGAAGCAAUUUCAAACAGCGGGGUUGUCCAGUGAACAAAGACAGCCUUUCUGGGUUGCCUUCUUAUGUGAUGGUAAGGCCUACACAUUCACACGUUUAGGAUAAGGAUUUUUUAUUGACAGCCCAACUGUCUACAACAAAGCACUGAGAGAGAGCCUUGAAAGAUUAACUAUUACACUAUUGCACUGUUGUGCCACCUGGCAGCAGAAGGGCACAGAGCUAGUUUAGCCAAACUGCAAUUUGUGAAAAAAGAAGUGCAUUUUUUUUUUUUUUUGGGUCAUGACAUUUCAGCGUCAGGGAAAACAUUAUCCUCAUCUCGAAUUGAGAAAUAGUUUUUCUCCCAAAACUUGAAACAAAGAAACUAAUUAUGUCAUUUCUAUGGAUGUGUUCCUAUUGUUGUGUUUUCAUCCCAAAUUAUGCUCAGUUAGUUCAGCCUUCAGCUGACAUAAUACAUGGUAACAACUUGUCUUCAGAUGACCAAGGGGGACUAGGCGUUUGUAAGUCUUAAAAAAGCUUUUCAAAGCCCUCCAACCUUAGGUUUGCCAAACCCUAAACUUCCAUUCACUCAGACAGUGGGUGAACAUUUGGGCUGCAUGACGUUUGUUCUCUUGCAGCCUCACGGUGACAGGCUCUGGCCUGUGGCCUAGUUUUGCUCCAUUAACAUUGUUAGUGCCACAUGUAGUUUCUCUGAUCCUAUUGGAGCAACAAUCUUCACAUUUAUCUGCAGCACGUUAUCUAUGGUUACACACAUGUCUGCUUGAUAUGCCUAAUGUCACUGUUAAACAUUUUACAGUGCUUAACCCUGCUUCUCUUAUGCCUGUGCCAGGAAAGGGAAAGCCGCAUGACUGUUUGGCUGAGUUGCAACACACCUGUGCUCCGCGCCCAGAUCUGACUGACACACCGGUGCCAAACUCAGAUCUGGUUUUGUAUGUGGAUGGGUCAGCCUCACGCUGCCCUGACACCGGACAGGGACAGGUAGGGUUUGCUGUAGUAUCAGAUUCAGAAACCUUAAUUGCUAAACCUCUUC